ensembl:lncRNA
UGCUUGCUUUUUUUUGUUUAUUUUGCUUUGCUUUUUUGAUUUUUUUAUGGAUUGCAAUUUGUGUUUAGCUGUCCUGGUCACAUAGCAGAUUUGUACAUGUCAGGAAAUUAGAAAACCACUUUCAGAAGAAUAACAAUGUUCACUUAGGCCUUAUCUUCUAAAAUUGUUUAUAGAGGUGCAUAAAUUUAUGUAUAAGAACACUUGUCUCAUUGGUGAUGUAUUGCAAUUUGGGUUUAGUAUGGCCUUAACUGUCAAGUGGUAAUGUAUUUUAAUGUAAACAGUUUUGUUUUAACUAGUGGCUUAAAGAGAUACUGGUGAACCACCAGCAUUUCUCUGUGAAAUUUCUUGAGAUUCUGUGCAUUUGCAGUUUUAUUUUUUUUAGUUUAACAUUGGUUAAUUUUUACCUCCGCAUUCAUUUCUUUAUUUUUAUAGCAACUUUUAAACAUAAUCAUUCACAUAUUUUUAAAUGCAUUCUACAUAAUAAAUUUAUCUAAUUUCAUUUAUUAAGUUAAGUAAGACUAUGAAAUCUCUUAAGUACAAGUUUUUUCUCCCAUUCAUAAUUUCCUGUUAGUAUUCUGGAUUCUUUCUUUUUUGCAACAUCUUCCUGUACAGCAAUGUCUGGGAACAGGUGUUCAGUUUAUGACUAAAUGAACCUUCACUAAGACCACAUAGGAGUUUUAGACAUUAUACUGGUUUAAAACUUGAUCAUCUGUGCAGCUUCACUGUUUUGCUUGUACUUCCAUUAACUACAAAUCAUAGCAAAAUGUUUUUAUCUCUUGUGAAUGUUGACGUUUUCAGACUCAGGGCAAUGCCUAAGUUGCCUGUGAAGUUGCACAGUUCAUCAACUUUUUCUUUCUCCGACCUCUGGCACUUUUUGCUGUAAUACUGAUUCCCAGUUGCUUCUGCCUCUGAUCAGCUAUUUACCAGUCGGCAAGUGUGCUUCCAGUUGGAACAAGAGAUGGAACAGAAGAGCAGUGUCUGAGGUCAGCCCAAAUAAAAAGAUGAACUGAACUAUGGAAAAAUUCCACACCACAACCUUAGUCCAGCCACCUAGGUAUACAAAUCUGAAUAAGAAGUGUGACUCCAGCUGCCCUGAGCUUUGCUGCUUUGAUUUCUUCAUCACUGAAUCUGACCCUGAGCCUGAAUUACUUCAACAAGAGUCCCAAAGGGAACAUUCAUACGGGAUUGAUCUUGUCAUUUCAGUCUUCUUGCUCUUUAUUGAAAGAAAGGAUAAAAAGCCCCUUGCAUCCACACUCUUGCAAGAGAACAUCUUUCUGAAAAGGCAUUCAAAUAAGCUUCAGUCAACAACUAUGAUCCUGAGCCCAUCUGGAACAACUGCCUUUAGCAAGAAGACGGUCUCCCAAAACAAAGUCUUCCUGUUUCAAGUGGAACUUUUCUGUGGCAGGCAAUGAGUUCUAGCUACACAAAAUGAAUCUUUUAAAGUCUAUUUUAAACUCAAGUGCGUGCUGCAAUUGGUUUGAUGACCCAGGGUUAUAUUCCUGAAGAAGACUAUGGAGACCACAGAACACUGGCAACUGCUGAGAGAAAGCAUUAGUAGAAAGAAACAGAGUGAUUGUAAGAGAGAUAAAGAUUUUGUGCAAGAGAACUGCUGAGAUUUUAUAAUGCCAACUACAGAAGAAAAGAAAUUGAGAAAAUACAGGGCACCAUCCAGCAAGUAGUCACUUGAGGCCAAUAAAUUAUGGCUACAACUAUGGAACAGAGAAAAUAAUCUACUUACUAACGUACACAGGAUGAACUACGGAAAGUUCAUGCAAGGAAAAAAAAGUAAAAAACAAACAUGAAGAGCUAUACUUGCUUGUUUUUUGGUGAGAAAAAGGACAAAUGGAGAGGUGGUCUGUAAAAACAUAAUAAAUAGCAACUGCAGUUUCCCCAGUGUUUUUUUAUUUUGUCUGGAAUUACUUACAUGAGAUGAUCAUCAACGUUAUUUGUUGAGGAAGCAUCUUCCAGUGUCCUGGUGGAUGAAAAGAUGAACAUGAGCCAGCAUUAUGAUCUUGCCGCCCUGAAGGUCGACUGUAUCUUUGUCUGCAUCAGAAGAGGGGUGGCCAGCAGGGAAACAAAGGUGAUUGUCCUCUUCUACUCUGCCUUUGUGAUACCCCCAUGUGGAUUACUUCAUUGCUGCCUUUGAGUAUUUGAAGAGAACUUACAAAGAGGAGAGAGACUGACUUCUUACGUGGUCUGAUAAUGUUGGGGGAGCUUAUCAAUGUUUAUAAAUGUAUAAAGGGUGGGUGUCAAAUAGAUGGAGUCAGGCUUUUUCCAGUGGUUCCCAGCAACAAGACAAGGGGCAAUAGGCACAAGCUAGAACAUAGGAAGUUCCAUACAAAUGUGUGGAAAAGCUUCAUUACAUUGUGGGUGUCAGAGCACUGAAACGUUGCCCACAGAGGCUGUGAAGUCUCCUUCUCCAAAGUUAUUCAUCUGGACACUUUCCUGUGCAACCUGAUGUAGGGAACUGCUUAAGGUGGGGGCUGGAAUGGAUGAAUUCCAACAGGUCCCUUGAGCCCCUACAAUUCUGUGAUUCUGCAAUUCUGUGACUUUCAACCUUUCAUCCAUUCAACACAUUGGAUCCUGAAGGUUUUGUUUAUAAUUAUUUUUUUUUCAUUAGAAGACUUGUAAGUAUUUUGAAUGUUAACAAGUAUAGAUGGUCUUAUGCAUGGCAAAACUUAAUACUUUAGCCCUUAUCAUAAAAUUAGGAAAUAUUUGCUGUUCUGAUUUCUGUUUUCCUUAUGAAUCACCUUAUAUUCUCUACUUGCAAUAACUCAGUAAGUAAGACAUUUGAUUCUGCUGUUAACAAUAGGGCUUAAAGGGUGCAUCUCUGCUUUUUUAACUGGUACAAGAUACAGGGCUUGACACAACAUUCAUUAUAUAGUUUUUCUGAUUUCAGUAGAUUUUGGAGCCUGCCUUAAGUGAGCUUUACAUUUCUGAUUCACUCAGGAAAUUAGCCCCCAAACCUCAUGACAAGACAUGACCUCAUCCUUAUAAAGAAGAUUGGACGAUUUGUUCCAGUAAUGGGUAUAAUGGCAAAAAGCCAAGGAGGAUGGGGAUGUGUGUAAAAAUCUUGUCUGUUAUUUCUGUCAACCCAGGAAUAAUGUAAGCUUUGUACAACAUACAAGGCAUCACUAAGAACCUUUGCGUAAGUUGUUAAAGAUGAACUCUGCCCCCUGCAAUACUCAGACAAUUCUUACUGAGAUCAGUAAGUCUGGUCCAUGUGUGUCUGAAUUUAAAAUUUCUUCUAGACAAUAUUGUUUUGUAAUGAUUUCUUUCCAGUGAAUGCUCUCUCAAAUUAUUUCCCUUUCAGCUGAUUGAAUGAGAUGAUUUUUCCUUAGUUCUUCCUUAUUGUUACUUCAGUUUCUCAAGUGAAGUUUCAGAUAGUGAGCUCUUUCAGACCCUUCCACUUUGGGUCAAGUGCUGUCUUUUACUAUUCAUUUCGUGCUCAGAGGUGUAUUCUUAGACCCACAGUGUUAAGUAUUCUUAAUGUUAAAAAAAAGGCAAAUCGUUAUAACAUGAGGGUUUUGUCAAUAAAAUACAUCUGUGGGUAAG